rnacentral:rRNA from 1 species
GACAUCCAGAGAACUUGGCAGAGAUGCCUUGGUGCCUUCGGGACCUCUGAGACAGGUGCUGCAUGGCUGUCGUCAGCUCGUGUUGUGAAAUGUUGGGUUAAGUCCGCAACGAGCGCAACCCCUAUCCUUUGUUGCCGGCGAUUCGGUCGGGAACUCAAAGGAGACUGCCGGUGAUAAACCGGAGGAAGGUGGGGAUGACGUCAAGUCAUCAUGGCCCUUACGAGUAGGGCUACACACGUGCUACAAUGGCGCAUACAAAGAGAAGCGACCUCGCGAGAGCAAGCGGACCUCAUAAAGUGCGUCGUAGUCCGGAUCGGAGUCUGCAACUCGACUCCGUGAAGUCGGAAUCGCUAGUAAUCGUAGAUCAGAAUGCUACGGUGAAUACGUUCCCGGGCCUUGUACACACCGCCCGUCACACCAUGGGAGUGGGUUGCAAAAGAAGUAGAUAGCUUAACCUUCGGGAGGGCGUUUACCACUUUGUGAUUCAUGACUGGGGUGAAGUCGUAACAAGGUAAGCGUAGCGAG